rnacentral:rRNA from 1 species
CCUACGGGAGGCAGCAGUAGGGAAUCUUCCACAAUGGGCGAAAGCCUGAUGGAGCAACGCCGCGUGGGUGAAGAAGGUCUUCGGAUCGUAAAACCCUGUUGUUAGAGAAGAAAGUGCGUGAGAGUAACUGUUCACGUUUCGACGGUAUCUAACCAGAAAGCCACGGCUAACUACGUGCCAGCAGCCGCGGUCAUACGUAGGUGGCAAGCGUUAUCCGGAUUUGUUGGGCGUAAAGGGAACGCAGGCGGUCUUUUAAGUCUUAUGUGAAAACGUUCGGCUUAACCGGAGGAGUGCAUUGGAAACUGGGGGACUUGAGUGCAGAAGAGGAGUGUGGAAUGCCAGGUGUAGCGGUGAAAUGCGUAGAUAUAUGGAAGAACACCAGUGGCGAAAGCGGCUCUCUGGUCUGUAACUGACGCUGAGGUUCGAAAGCGUGGGUAGCAAACAGGAUUAGAUACCCGUGUAGUC